rnacentral:pre_miRNA from 1 species
UUGUUUGCUGGUGCAGCAUCACCAAGAUUCACAUUUGCAAAUGCAGAGAAUGAGCUAGCUAGCUUCACUUUCUGCCCGACUCCUUCAUGUAUUGAGAGUGAGAAUCUUGAUGAUGCUGCAUCGGCCAUUAA